AGAGAGAGACAUGCGCGCAUAUCAAUAAGCGGAGGAAAAGAAACUAACUAGGAUUCCCUCAGUAACGGCGAGUGAAGCGGGAAGAGCUCAAAUUUGAAAUCUUAAAGGUUCUACCUUGACGAAUUGUAGUUUAAAGAAGUGUUUUCUGUUGGAGGUUUUGGUAAAAGUUCUUUGGAAUAGGACAUCAUAGAGGGUGAGAAUCCCGUAUUUGACCAUUAUUUCAGCUGUGUGAUACACUUUCAAAGAGUCGGAUUGUUUGGGAAUGCAGUCCAAAAUGGGUGGUAAAUUUCAUCUAAAGCUAAAUACUGGCGAGAGACCGAUAGCGAACAAGUACCGUGAGGGAAAGAUGAAAAGAACUUUGAAAAGAGAGUUAAACAGUACGUGAAAUUGUCAAAAGGGAAGCGUUUGACACCAGUGUUGUUUUCUCGAAAAUCAAUUAAAAAAGGCAGGAUUUUGUGUUGUAUUGACUUUAUCAGCUUUCUGCACUCUUUUCUUGUCUUUUUUAAUGCACUUUUCGUUUAACAAGUCAACAUCAAUUUCUUUUGUUGUAAAAGGUCAUUGGAAGGUGGCUUUCUUUUCGGAGAAAGUGUUUAUAGCCUUUGGCCUCUGCAAUCGGAGAGAUUGAGGUCUGCAGCGUAGAUCCUUCGGGGUUAGAUACAUUUGUGCUAAGUUAUAGCCUUUCAUAGACAACUUGUUGACUAUGAUCAGUCAUGUAGCUUACUCGCUUAUGCUAUUUUACCUACGCUUAGGAUGUUGAUGUGAUACUGCGAGCA
rnacentral:rRNA from 1 species